rnacentral:rRNA from 1 species
UACGUAGGGUGCAAGCGUUGUCCGGAAUUAUUGGGCGUAAAGGGCUCGUAGGCGGUCCAUCGCGUCGGGAGUGAAAACCAGAGGCUUAACUUCUGGCUUGCUUUCGAUACGGGCAGACUUGAGGCAUGCAGGGGGAGAACGGAAUUCCUGGUGUAGCGGUGAAAUGCGCAGAUAUCAGGAGGAACACCGGUGGCGAAGGCGGUUCUCUGGGGCAUGUUCUGACGCUGAGGAGCGAAAAGUGUGGGGGAGCGAAACGG